AACGAACGCUGGCGGCGUGCCUAACACAUGCAAGUCGAGCGGGAAAGUGGGGGGCAACCCCAUGAGUACAGCGGCGCACGGGUGAGUAACACGUAGGUAACCUACCUGCGAGACUGGGAUAACCUGCCGAAAGGCGGGACUAAUACCAGAUAAGACCACGGGGGCUUUGGCCCCUGCGGCAAAAGGUGGCCUCUCCUUGGAAGCUACUACUCGUGGAUGGGCCUGCGCGCCAUUAGCUAGUUGGCGGGGUAACGGCCCACCAAGGCGAAGAUGGCUAGCUGGUCUGAGAGGAUGGCCAGCCACACUGGGACUGAGACACGGCCCAGACUCCUACGGGAGGCAGCAGUGGGGAAUAUUGCGCAAUGGGCGAAAGCCUGACGCAGCGACGCCGCGUGGGUGAUGAAGGCCUUC
rnacentral:rRNA from 1 species